AAAAAAUCAACAAAUUAAAACAGGGACAAGACAGAGCUAACAAGAGAACUCCAUUCUU
rnacentral:sRNA from 1 species